GGAGGCGCAUCCUGUCCGGUGAUGGGCGCGGUCUUCAAAACCGUCAGCGGGUGCGCGAGAGCGUGCCUGGGUGGGUUCGACUCCCACACGCCUCCGCCA
rnacentral:tRNA from 1 species